rnacentral:rRNA from 1 species
UACGUAGGGUGCGAGCGUUAAUCGGAAUUACUGGGCGUAAAGCGUGCGCAGGCGGUGAUGUAAGACCGAUGUGAAAUCCCCGGGCUUAACCUGGGAACUGCAUUGGUGACUGCAUUGCUGGAGUAUGGCAGAGGGGGGUGGAAUUCCACGUGUAGCAGUGAAAUGCGUAGAUACUGGGAGGAACACCAGUGGCGAAGGCGCUACCUGGACCGGUUCUGACGCUGAGGCGCGAAAGCGUGGGUAGCAAACAGG